GAUGAACGCUGGCGGCGUGCCUAAUACAUGCAAGUCGAGCGAACAGACGAGGAGCUUGCUCCUCUGACGUUAGCGGCGGACGGGUGAGUAACACGUGGAUAACCUACCUAUAAGACUGGGAUAACUUCGGGAAACCGGAGCUAAUACCGGAUAAUAUAUUGAACCGCAUGGUUCAAUAGUGAAAGACGGUUUUGCUGUCACUUAUAGAUGGAUCCGCGCCGCAUUAGCUAGUUGGUAAGGUAACGGCUUACCAAGGCAACGAUGCGUAGCCAACCUGAGAGGGUGAUCGGCCACACUGGAACUGAGACACGGUCCAGACUCCUACGGGAGGCAGCAGUAGGGAAUCUUCCGCAAAGGGCGAAAGCCUGACGGAGCAACGCCGCGUGAGUGAUGAAGGUCUUCGGAUCGUAAAACUCUGUUAUUAGGGAAGAACAAAUGUGUAAGUAACUAUGCACGUCUUGACGGUACCUAAUCAGAAAGCCACGGCUAACUACGUG
rnacentral:rRNA from 1 species